UGUUUAUAUUUCUGAAUUAUAACCUGCUUCCUUUUCCUAUCCCUUUCAGUAUUAUAGAACUGACCUAACUUCAAAGAAGAAUUGCAGAGGAAGCAAAAAAGAAGGUGGAGGGUCUGCUAGUGGAUUUGCAGUUAAAAGAACGAUUUUGAAAACCCAAAUGUUUCCAGUUGGAAGGCAAUAUUUUCAAAUCUUUGGAAGAUUAUGAAGUGAGACACACCCUUGGGAAUUAGAGAGCAGGAGUCAGAGGGGAGACGGCCAGAAGGCAACGGAAGUAGAGAUUGGAGUGAUGCCCUUUGGAAACGGAAGAAGAGGCCACCAACCAAGGAACAUAAGUGACCCCUAGAAGCUGUAAAGGGCAAGGAAACGGAUUUCUCCCUGCAGCCUUCAGAAGGAAUGCAGCCUUGACUUUGGCCCAGUGAAACUGAUUUUGGACUUUUGACCUCCAGAACUGUA